rnacentral:rRNA from 1 species
UACGUAGGGUGCGAGCGUUAAUCGGAAUUACUGGGCGUAAAGGGCGCGUAGGCGGCUUUUCAAGUCAGAGGUGAAAGCCUGGAGCUCAACUCCAGAAUUGCCUUUGAAACUGUAAAGCUUGAGUGUCGGAGGGGAUAGCGGAAUUGCUAAUGUAGAGGUGAAAUUCGUAGAUAUUAGCAGGAACACCGGUGGCGAAGGCGGCUAUCUGGACGACAACUGACGCUGAGGCGCGAAAGCGUGGGGAUCAAACAGG